rnacentral:rRNA from 1 species
UACAGAGGUCCCAAGCGUUGUUCGGAUUCAUUGGGCGUAAAGGGUGUGUAGGUGGCGCCGUAAGUCGGGUGUGAAAUCUCGGGGCUUAACUCCGAAACUGCAUUCGAUACUGCGGUGCUUGAGGACUGGAGAGGAGACUGGAAUUCAUGGUGUAGCAGUGAAAUGCGUGGAUAUCAAGAGGAACACUCGUGGCGAAAGCGAGCUACUGGACAACUCCUGACGCUGAGGCUCGAAGGCCAGGGUAGCGAAAGGG